rnacentral:rRNA from 1 species
ACCCAAGAGCUAGCCCACCCUUAAAAUUCAACACAAAACUAUAGAUAAACCCUAAUUUACUAAACAUAAAAACCAAACCAUUUUUCCCCCUUAGUACGAGAGACAGAACGGGGCUCCGGAGCGAUAGAAAUAGUACCGCAAGGGAACGCUGAAAGAGAAGUGAAAUAAUUCAGUAAAGUUAAGAGAAGCAAAGAUUAAAUCUUGUACCUUUUGCAUCAUGGUUUAGCAAGAGACCCCCAAGCAAAAAGAAUUUUAGUUUGUUUACCCGAAACUGGGUGAGCUACUCCAAGACAGCCUAAUAUAUAGGGCAAACCCGUCUCUGUGGCAAAAGAGUGGGGCGAGCUUCGAGUAGAGGUGACAGACCUACCGAACCCAGUUAUAGCUGGUUGCCUGGGAAGUGAAUAGAAGUUCAGCCUCUUGGUUUAUUUAGUCUCAAUUGGCCCACAGCCCUACCCAGACAACAAGAAUCCUAGAGAGUUAGUCAAAGGGGGUACAGCCCCUCUGACCCAAGACACAACUUUAAAAGGAGGAUAAAGAUCAGAUUUAUACAAGG